ACUGCUAGGUUGCCUUGGCUCUCAGGUAACUGUUGUGGAUUCUGUUCUGUGCACUCAGCUCCAGUGCUCUCCUGCUUCUGCUUCUUCGCACUCAGUGAUCUAACCAUUAACCUUCUCGUGGCCUCACUCCUCACUACCCCCCACAAAGAUUCCCAAGCUUCUGUCAGUCCUACUUAUUGUAAAAUCCAGCCAAACCUCCAGAACAAUGUUUCCUUGAUGUUUGGGUUUACUGUGUCUGCCUUUCCCAUGAUGCUCUAAGCUUGAAAGUCCCAUGAGGACAAGAUGGUUUUCUCUUACUCUCCUAUCCUGUACUUUUUAGGUCCUCAAAUAAAUAGAAUCCUCUGCUGUUUUAUACUUCUGGAAGUGCAGUCCUCAUAUGAAUAUUUCUCUCUUUAUCACUGCCAUCAAAAACCUAGGCCUUUUGUCUGCUGUAUGGUAAAAGACUUAUUUUCACUUGUCACUUUGCCAUCAGUCUCCCCUCCCCCGCACCCCGGUUUCUUCUAAGUUAGCUUCAUAGCUAGAGGAAAAUGCUUUGGUUCUCCUUCUUCCCCAGCCACCCUGGCAGCUUUCUUUUGUGUCUCUGCUGAUGUCAUCCAUGGGUCUCGUGUUUAUUCUUAUACUCAUCAGAACAAUAGACAUACUGUGUCUGUCCUUUGUACUUUCUGGAUCUUCCAUUAUAUUACAUGAUAAUUUAUAUGCUAGUGUUUUCCUUAAUGAGCAGAGUUUAGAUGACCCACCGAA
rnacentral:lncRNA from 1 species